rnacentral:misc_RNA from 1 species
GCACCUCUCACUCCCUUUCUCUAACUAGUCUUGUGUGCACCCAUUUAUGUGUACGUACUAUUAUCUCAUAAAUAAAUAUUUUUAAAAUUAGAUGCAUUUAUUGAUAUGAAAAAGUUACAAGAUUAGUUUGUUGUGUGUGAGACUUUGGAUCGACAGAUCGAAAAAUUAACUAACCGGUCAGUAUUGAAUAUCAACUAUUAUAUGCUCCAUGCAUUCGCUUAUAGUUUCACACAAUUUGUUUUCUUCACGGUCUAAAAUCAGAAGAUUCCAUAUAUUUUCUUAUGACGUAAAAGGACCACUUAUAAGUUGACACGUCAGCCCUUGGAUUCGUGAGGUUUUUCUCUCUACUUCACCUAUCUACUUUUCCUCAUAUCCCACUGCUUUUCUCCUUCUUGUUCUUGUUUUUCUCGUUUUUUUCUUCUUCUUCUCCAAGAAAAUAGAGAUCGAAAAGAUUAGAUCUAUUUUGUGUAGCAAGAAAUUAUCAUUUUCGUUUCUUCAUUCAUAUAUUGUUCUAUUAUGUUGUACAAUAAUAGAUACUCGAUCUCUUGUGCGUGCGUAAAUUUUAUACAAGUUGUCGGCGGAUCCAUGGAAGAAAGCUCAUCUGUCGUUGUUUGUAGGCGCAGCACCAUUAAGAUUCACAUGGAAAUUGAUAAAUACCCUAAAUUAGGGUUUUGAUAUGUAUAUGAGAAUCUUGAUGAUGCUGCAUCAACAAUCGACGGCUACAAAUACCUAAAGCUUGAGAAAGAAACUUGAAGAUAUUGAUUGAAGUCUGGAUCGAUCUUUGGUAAUGCUAUGAUCAAGAACAACAAGAUCGUGAGCACAGAUCGGCCAGUUCGGUCACUUUUUAAAAGAGAGAUGUUAUAUUGUUAAUUUGUUAUUAUCAGGUAUAAUAAAUACAGAAUAGUUCGUCCAGAGACCAGACAUUUUAUAGUUUCAAUUUUAUGACAGUCUUGUAAUAAUAUUUGUUUAAUAGUGUGUCACCUUCUAUUUCUGGGUUAUUACUUGGUCCCGAAAUUUUCUUAUUGUUCUAAUUUUGUAAUAUUAGAAAUUUGGUUUUCUUGCCAAAUCAAAUCAAACAUUACGGUGUGUUGUACAUUGUACCAGAACUUUUGUUUUCAAGUGCUCAACUUGAGAACC